rnacentral:lncRNA from 1 species
AUGCCUGCCCCCAGAGGGCGCUCUUUGUUAGGAGAGGUCUUAUCACUCGGUUUCUCUGGUUCUGGAAGCAGAGAGGAAGCACCUGGGUUAUCUAGAGCACUGUGGGGUGUGCCUGUGGCUCUUGAUUGCAAGUGGAAGAAAGCAGUCUGCAAAACGCCACUUAAGCUUCAAAGAGCUAUUGAAGCCUUGUGUCCCUGGAAGGCUAUUUUCAUUUUAAGGAAAGGCUUGUGAGUAAGAAUGUGAUAGAAAGGCCUUCAGGUUUCCACAGAAAUACUGAUGUCUGCUUCGUGAUUACUGACAGAGAGAAGAGUUAAGUUUCAGCUCAGGAAUUUCUGUCUUACCUGCCAAACAAUGUAGAUACCCGGAGCUCUUCUCAAGGAAGUUCAAGUAUUCACUAUUUUAUCCAUUUUAUGAAAAAAUUGUGUAAGUAUUACCUCUUUUUUAUCAUCUGGAAUAUAUAGUCUUUCUAAAACCUGUCUCUAAGAAAAAUUUUAAGAAGAUUAAAAUGUAAAUUGCAAACACAGAAAAGCAUGCACAUGAUUUUUCCCAUAUUAGAAAGGUCAUUAUAAUAUAAAUCUUUUCAAGUUAUAUGAAUCCAACUCCUGAUGAAAUGUUACAAUAUUUAAAAUUUUCUCUCAUCUUCCCUGCUCUCCUCAUCUGUGUACAUAGGUUAGGGACAAGGAAUCAGAAUCAAUAAAUGUAAAAUAUUAAAGAUUAAAAGAUUAGAA